rnacentral:lncRNA from 10 species
AGGAGAUAUCCUCUUGACAGCUCUGCAGGGAGCGGAAACCAAACUGGGUGGGAAGUCUGAGAUAAAUCAGCUGAAAACCAUCCCUUUCCCCCUUCCACACUACUGCGCUUCCCCACAGGAAGGCAUGUCCUUCCCACUCCAGGGACUUGGCCUCUUCUUCCAGCAUUUUCAACAUACUUGAUGCUAACUUAUUUUUUAAUUAGAAAUAUUUUAAACAAUGUUGAAUCUGAGUGUAUAAAACCAGAAUUAAUUUUUGUAGCUUCCAGUGUUUUAUUCCUGUAAUAGCGGGCUUGAUGGCUUAAGAAUUAUGGAAUUCAUACCUUAAUUAAUUUUAUAAGUCUUCACAGGCCAUCUAGUAUGUCUCACCUACAAGUAGGUACAUUCAGUGCCUGAACAACUUCAACUCCUUUCGUUUUAAAAAUGGAAAAAUGUCAUUAAUAUUUUAAGCCAAUAUUCUUGACCCUAUUUUCAGUAUUAAAGACACUGUUUUUGCAGGUUUCAUUCCCACAGCCCAUAACUUUUCUAGUAUAUAAGCAUUUGUUAAAAGAAAAUUUUAAAAUAUUAAAAACUUGGGUUUUUUUUUUUAAGAAAGAUAGGAUGUUCUAAAAAUAAAAAAUGGUCAGCUACCUGAAGCACAGACAGCCACUCCUUUUCUUUUAUGGAUACUGGCCAUUUUUUCACCUUUAGGUCUUCCUUUUCUCAUAUUUUAUGCCCAACCCCCAAAUAAUAAAAUUAAGUAGAGCAUUUUCCCUUCCCUUGUUUUUUGUUUUGUUUGAGACAGGGUCUCACUCUGUUGCUCAAGCUGGAGUGCAGUGGCACUAUCGGCUCACUGCAACCUUGGCCUCUCGGGUUCAAGUGAUUCUUGUGUCUCAGCCUCCCAAGUAACUGGGACUACAGGUGCCCACCACCAUGCCCAGCUAAUUUUUGUAUUUUUAGUAGAGACGGGGUUUUAUCAUGUUGGCCAGGCUGGUCUUGAACUCCUGACCUCAAGUGAUCUGCCCGCCUUGGCCUCCCAAAGUGCUGGGAUUGCAGGUAUAAG